UACGUAGGAGGCAAGCGUUGUCCGGAAUUACUGGGCGUAAAGGGCUUGUAGGUGGCCAACUAAGUCAGACGUGAAAUCCCUCAGCUUAACUGGGGAACUGCUUCUGAUACUGGAUGGCUUGAGUUUGGGAGAGGGAUGCGGAAUUCCAGGUGUAGCGGUGAAAUGCGUAGAUAUCUGGAGGAACACCGGUGGCGAAGGCGGCAUCCUGGACCAACACUGACACUGAAAAGCGAAAGCCAGGGGAGCAAACGGG
rnacentral:rRNA from 1 species